CAUGCAUACUCCACCUGGCUCGGGGGGAUAUAGCUCAGCGAGAGGCGGUGGUUUACCCUGUGGCGGAUGUCAG
rnacentral:tRNA from 13 species